UGCUGGUUGUGUAGCCAAGGAUGACUUGCCGGCCUGGUUUGUGUUCAUCAGCAAUCCAGCAUAUGCUGUAUUGCCUUGUGUGAUGGCCGGCGCCGUGGAUCGAUCGAUGCAUGGACCGGCAAGUUAUUUUCUUUGGCUACAUUACAACCUCG
rnacentral:pre_miRNA from 1 species